AUUGAACGCUGGCGGCAGGCCCAACACAUGCAAGUCGAGCGGGGUUUUCGGACCUAGCGGCGGACGGGUGAGUAAUGCGUAGGAAGCUACCCGAUAGAGGGGGAUACCAGUUGGAAACGACUGUAAUACCGCAUAAGGUCUACGGACCAAAGUGUGGGACCUUCGGGCCACAUGCUAUCGGAUGCGCCUACGUGGGAUUAGCUAGUUGGUGAGGUAAUGGCUCACCAAGGCGACGAUCCCUAGCUGGUUUGAGAGGAUGAUCAGCCACACUGGGACUGAGACACGGUCCAGACUCCUACGGGAGGCAGCAGUGGGGAAUAUUGGACAAUGGGCGCAAGCCUGAUCCAGCCAUGCCGCGUGUGUGAAGAAGGCCUUCGGGUUGUAAAGCACUUUCAGUAGGGAGGAAGCGUUGUGUGUUAAUAGUACACAGCGUUGACGUUACCUACAGAAGAAGCACCGGCUAACUCUGUGCCAGCCGCCGCGGUAACAC
rnacentral:rRNA from 1 species